rnacentral:rRNA from 1 species
GACGAACCGUGCGAACGUUGUUCGGAAUUACUGGGCAUAAAGGGUGCGUAGGCGGCUUGUUAAGUCAGGGGUGAAAGUUUUCGGCCCAACCGGAAAAUUGCCUUUGAUACUGGCGAGCUCGAGUGCGUGAGGGGUAACCGGAACGAGCAGUGUAGCGGUGAAAUGCGUAGAUAUUGCUCGGAAGGCCAACGGCGAAGGCAGGUUACUGGUACGCAACUGACGCUGAGGCACGAAAGCGUGGGGAGCAAACAGG